UACAUGGGAGAAGAACCCAUAAUAUCUGGGUUACCUUGUUGUUCCACUGGGCAGACACGUAUCAUAGACCCGCUGAAGACUGCAAGUUGAGUAAAAAGACUGAGUUGAGAUGCCACGACCAAAGAAGAGAUCCACAAUAGCCAAGAGGCUGUAUGCACAACGAUGUGCAACAGAGGCAAGUCAAGCAGAGGUUCAGCCGCUUCCUCUUAAAAAAAUGGCAACUGCAGAGGUUCGGCCGCUUCCUCUUAAAAAAAUGGCAGAGGCUGCACAGCUUCCUCUUAAAAUAAGUCAAGCAGAGGCUGCACAGCUCCCUCUUAAAAUAAGUAGAGCCGAGGUAUCGCCACUUCCUCGUAAAACUAAGGUAGACUUGCCGGUGACGUCCGGCAAGUGCCAUCGUGCAAACCAACAGGUUCCACUCCGUCCUGUAUCAAAACGGGUAGAGGCUGCACCGCUUCCUCUUAAAAUAAGUCAAGCAGAGGUUGUGCCAAAUCCUCUUAAAAAACUGGUAGACAAUGAACGCCUGUGUUCAUUGUCCAAACAUACAAAUACAAAGAAUGAAAACCAAACAAACAAAUUUCCAGAGAAUUCAAAAAGUUUCCCAUAUGUUUCUCAAGAAUCUUUCAAAAACUCUCAAAAAUCUCUCAAAAACUCUCAACAAUCUCUCAAAAACUCAAAACAAUCUCUCAAAAACUCUCAACAAUUUCUCAAAUGUUCCAGAGAAUCUGCAGAAAGGUUUGUGGUCCGAAAAAAAUUUAAUGAGAAUGUCUUGAGCACUUUACCUGCGUGUUAUGACUUCUUUCCACAGAAAUCAUUGCUGAAAGGUUCCUUUCAUCAAGGUGAUGCACGCUUUGGAGAGUCACGCGGCAGACAGUGUGGUGCCAUCAGUCUGACAGCAGUGUUGAUGAGCAAGAUGAAGAACGUGUUGACCUGGACAACACAAGAUCUUAACGGUGUCUUGGUGGCAGGAACACGACUUUAUGAAUCUUUACGAAACCAGGGUAACAUAAAUGACCAAGAAGUCAUGGGUAGGCAUUACAUUGCAGUCCAUGAAUUGCCAAGGAGACAUGUGCUGGGUAAUACUGUAUUUUCCAUAGAGUAUGCAGAGUCUCUCACUGGAUUUGUUAAUGUUGAUGACUAUGAUGAAUCCUUAAGUAAUGUGGCCAUGCCAGUUGAUGUAGCUCUUCAGCGAGCUCUACUGAGUGCUGAAUCUUUCCUUUUAUGUAUUUGUGCCAACACAUGUGCAGUUAUUAAGGAGGGUUCAUGGUAUGCCUUUGUUGAUUCUCAUGCUAACAUGACGGAGACAAGUUGUGUUGCUUAUCACAGCACCAUAGAAUCUUUGUACAACUACAUUAAUGAGAUUGCGCACUCAUUUGGGGUAAUUGCGCCACGAUUUGAGAUAACUGGAGUUUCGGUUCAUGCAGAUGCUGAAGUUUCUCACUCGCUGGAGGCAGACCACAGCAGUUUUCCAUGCUCUUCGGGUAAGGAACUUUACAGUGAAGUUCUAAAACGCAAACCUAAGGUAUGUAAAUCUGUGCCAACUGAGGUAAGGUCAUCUGUCUUUCAAUUACCUGAGGUUGAAGUUCAAAAUGCAGGCACUAAUGUUCCCAUGCCUCAACCAGUGUGUAAUGUGUUGCCAAGUAAAGGAGAAAGAGGGAGAAGAAAAAAUCAGGAUGAACCCUUAAAGAAAUGGGCUAUAAAGACCCACUCACUGGAGGCAGACCACAGCAGUUGUCCGCAGGUCUCUGGUAAAGCACUUUACAGCGAAGUCUUAAAACGUACACCCAAGGUAUGUAAAUCUGUACCAACUGAGGUAAGGUCAUCUGUCUUUCAAUUACCUGAGGUUGAAGUUCAAAAUGCAGGAACUAAUGUUCCCAUGCCACAACCAGUGUGUAAUGUGUUGCCAAGUAAAGGAGAAAGAGGGAGAAGAAAAAAUCAGGAUGAACCCUUAGAGAUAUGGGCUACAAAGACCCACUCACUGGAGGCAGACCACAGCAGUUGUCCGCGGUCCUCUGGUAAAGCACUUUACAGCGAAGUCUUAAAACGCACACCCAAGGUAUGCAAAUCUGUGACAACUGAGGUAAGAUCAUCUGACAUCCAAUUACCUAAAGUUGAAGUUGAAAAUACAAGCAGCACUAACCUUUCAAUGUCGCAACCAGCGUGUAAUGUGUUGCCAAUUAAAGGAAAAAGGGGGAGAAGAAAAAAACAGCAUGAGCAGGUCUCUGAGAAACGGGUUAAAAAAUCUCAUGUUGAAAAUGUUGUAGUAGAUGACAUAAUUAUUACUGAUGUUUCAGUCCCAGAAGUGUUUUUUUCUCCCUUGACUCUUCGAGAUCAGCAAGCUUUAUGUGAACUCUUGCUUCUGACAAAUGAUAACAGUGACUGUGAUGUUACAACAAACUUUGGUCCCAUUGCAGGUCCGUGUCAGACAAAGAGUAUCAAACCAGAUGGUAACUGCUUUUUCAGAUCACUGGCAUAUGCAAUUUGUGGAAGUGAGGACAAGCAUUUGAAGAUUCGCCGUGCAGUUGUCAAACACCUGAAAAUGAAUGCUUCAAUAUUUGAGAGGUAUGUGAGAAGUGAGUAUACUUCAGUAGAGGACUACUUGACUCAAUCUAGAGUCUAUUAUUCUGGGUCAUGGGUCACUGAAAUUGACAUCUUUGCUUCUGCUGAUCUAUUUAAAACUACCAUAAUGACUUUUAAUGAUAGCCGGUGGAAUGCACACAAACCUACUGGAGAGGUAAUUGCAAACAAUGCAAUAUAUUUGAAAAACUGUAAUGGUAAUCAUUAUGAAGUUGUGACAUGUGUUAAGCACAGAGAUCAAGACAUUUGUGCAGGAAAGUGUGGGAAUGCCACUUCAAAUGAGGUGAGAAUGCCAUGUCUGCGUAAAAGGAAGGUAAGCGAUGCUGCACAGUAUGACCAAGAGAGAUACUUGAAAAAACUGAAGAAUGAGAAGUCCAAGUAUGAUAAUGACAUUGAUUUCAGACAAAAUAAAAUUGACUAUGCCAAAACAAAAUACUGUAGUGAUAAAGAUUAUAGACAGAAAAGAAUGAAAGUUCUUCGUGAUAAAUAUUUAAAAGAUCGUCAUGUUUGUUUGUUAAAGCGUGAACGUUCUAAGGCCAAGUAUUCAAGCAAUAUUCCGUUUCAGAAACGUGUUUGCCAGUAUUCUCAAAUGAAAUAUAAAAAUAAUAUCUCAUUUCAGGCAAUUGUACGUGAGUAUUCCAAGAAGAAAUAUCUUCAAAACCUGGACUUUAAAGCAAGAGUACGUGAGUAUUCCAAGAAGAAAUAUCUUCAAAACCUGGACUUUAAAGCAAGAGUACGUGAGUAUUCUAAAAAGAAAUAUGCCCAAAACCUGGUCUUUAAAGCAAGAGUGUGUGAGUAUUUGAAGACAAAAUAUCACAAAGAUGUAAACUUUCAUUUCAGUAAAAUACAAAAAGGCUGUGAGGUGUAUGCAAAAAACAGGGAAAAGCACAAGGACAUUUGUGUUGCCAUCGCCAGUUUUCGUCAAGAAGUUAGUAGAGGUCCAGAGUUUGUGUGCUGUGUCUGUCAUCGUUUACUUUUCAGAAAGCAGGUUACUGAAUGCAAGCCAGAAUGCUAUGAAGACAAAGGAGAAGAAAUUGCUGCUUUGGCAAGAAGAUGCAUCACACUGAGGUAUGUGCACGUUUGUGAUGAAAGAUGUCAUAAUCCAUCUGUUUCUUCUCCAAGGUGCAAAUUGUGGAUUUGUCCAACCUGUCAUCGAAAAAUCAUCAGCGGAAAACUGCCUGAAGAGAGUGUUGCUAACAAUAUGCAUUUGGUGGACAUUCCAAAUCAACUAAAGUGUCUUAACUCUUUGGAACAACAUCUUGUGGCACGUAAUAUCCCUUUUUUGAAGUUACUCUGUCUUCCACGCGGAAAACAAAAUGGCUGCCACGGACCCGUCGUGUGUGUUCCUGUAAAUACUGCAGAGGUGUCAAAUAUUCUUCCACGAAAUGAAUGUGAUGACAAGAUGAUAAGGAUAAAAUUGAAGCGCAAGUUAACAUACAAAGGGCAUUAUGAGUACAAGCAUGUACACACUGAUCGUGUUAGAAAUGCUCUAAGAUGUUUGAUCAGGUGCAAUAAAUGGUACAAGGAUGUGGAGAUUAAUGAACAAUGGAUAAACUCUUUGAAUGAACCAGAAGAGAAUGCUGCUGAUGAAAUGGAGGAACAGGCUGAAGUUGAAAAGAGUGAAGAGGAAAAUGAUACCGAAGAACAGCCAGAGGAAGACUUGACUUACAUCAAAGAGCAGAGUGGUCUUUUGUCAGACACAUGUUUACAACCUGUGGAUCUUGGUUCAGAAGUUAUUGAUCAGCAUUUUCAAGAUGUAUUAAAUGUGGCACCAGCUGAAGGUAACAGUCCUGUUAAGUUACUGUCAGAUAAAAGCAAUGAAGCAAAAUGUUUUCCUGUUCUCUUUCCAACUGGUGGUGCAACAUUCCACGAUGAGAGGGAAAAAAAGAUCACACUGUCACGAUACUUAAAUGCAAGAAUCCUAAACGCAGAUGGGCGUUUUGCACGGAGCACAGACUUUAUUUUCUAUGCACAAUACAUGUCGGAGUUGGAUCAAAUUGUAUCUAAUGUUUCCAUUGCUUUGCGAAAAGGGUCUGACAAGAGGUUGUUGCAAGGAAUAACCUCGGAUAUGCUGACAAACCCAGGGUCAUUAGCUAAAAUAUUGAAUUAUGAUGAAGGAUACAAGUUUUUGAGACCAAUCCGUGGAACGCCACCCUAUUGGCAAUCGACUCAAAAAGACCUUUUUGCACUCAUAAGACAACUAGGUAUUCCAACUUUCUUUGCAUCCUUCAGCUCUGCUGAUCUCAGAUGGCCUGAAAUGAUUAACACUAUCCUGGAGCAAGAACAGAAAAAUGUCAGUGUUGAUGAGCUUGACUGGUCUGAGAAAUGUGGACUAAUUAGACGAAACCCAGUCACUGCUGCAAGGAUGUUUGAUUAUAGAUGGCAUUGUUUUUUGAAAGAUGUCAUUAUGUCACCCGCUGAACCUAUUGGAAAGAUCAAAGACUACUUUUAUCGUGUAGAGUUUCAACAGCGUGGAUCUCCUCAUGUUCAUUGUCUGUUUUGGGUUGAAAAUGCUCCAAAGUUAAAUGAAGACAAUGAAGACAAUGAUGCUUUGGUUGCUGCUUUCAUAGAUCAUUAUAUCACUUGUAAGACACCAGUAGAAGAUGACACUGAACUGUAUGAGACUGUGAACAGUGUUCAAAAGCACAGCAGCAGACAUUCCAAGACAUGCCGGAAGAAAAACACAGUGUGUAGAUUUAAUUUUCCACGACCUCCAUCUAGCCGCACCUUUAUAGCAAGAGCCAUAUCAGAUGACUUGAAAGGCAAUGAUGGAAAUGAGACUGCAAGUGCAAUUCUGAAGAAAAUCAAAACUGCGUUAAUCGAAUCUGAAGUCAAUUUUGAUUCAACAGAUGCCUUUUUCCAAUCCAUUGGAAUUAAUCAAGCUGUGUUUGAGAAGGCGUACAAGAAAUGUUCUAAAAAGAAAAGUGUCGUCUUGAAACGAAGUCCAAAAGAUGUUUGGGUAAAUCAAUAUAAUCCUCAUUUAUUGCGUGCAUGGCAGGGCAACAUGGAUAUCCAGUAUGUCACAGAUGCCUACUCUGUAGUGGUUUAUAUUAUUAGUUACAUCACAAAAGCUGAACAAGAAAUGGGACUUUUGUUGCAACGUGCCCAAAAUGAAGCUAUGAAUGGAAAUCUUGAAGCAAGAUCAUCAUUAAAAAUGUUGGGAAGUGUAUAUCUACACAAUAGAGAAGUUUCAGCACAAGAGGCAGUGUAUCGCCUAGUGGGUAUGCACUUGAAAGAAUGCUCUCGCAAAGUACAGUUUAUUCCAAUUGGAACCGAUCCUGUGAAGAUGAGUUUGCCUUUGCGUGUUCUUCAAAACAAAGAUGACCAUUCUGGUGAAGAAAGCUGUUUUUGGAUGAAUAGUUUGGUUGACCGAUACAAGAGUAGACCGAAAACAGAACAUUUUGAGAUUCUGUGUCUGGGCAGUUUUUGUUCAGAAUACAGGAUAUUGUCAACAUCUGAGCUAUCUUCACAAAACAAAGAAAAUGUGAUCAAGCUUGACAACAAUUGUGGUUAUAUGAUAAGAAGAACUCGAACUGAACCUGCAGUAAUAAGGUAUCCAAGAUUUUCACCAACAAAAGAUCCAGAAAAGUACUAUCAUUCACUGCUUCAACUUUUUUUACCACAUUAUGAAGAUUGCCAGCUGAAGCCUGAGAAGUUCCACACUUAUGAGGACUUCUACAAUAAUGGUGCUGUGAAAUGUGGAAGUAAUGUGACCGAAGUAAAAUCUAUUGUUGAUUCUAAUCGAGCACUGUUUGAAAAGGACAGCGAUGAAAUGGACAGAGCUCAACAGGUUUUGGAGCUGGGUGUUGAUUUGGAAGAUGCUUGGGCUGCAUUGUGUCCUGAAACAGAGAAGCAGCGCCAUGAAUGUAUUGAGCUAAAGAAGAAUAACGUACUUCCUGAAGAAGAUGAUUCUGACACACUUAUCCCAGAUCUUGUAGCGAAUCCUCGAACUGCGUUCACAAUUGAGAACAGUAAUGCUACAAUGUCUCGAGAUGAAGCAUUGGGUUUGCUAAGAUCAUUAAAUGCUAAACAGUCUGCAAUAUUUUACAACGUUCGCGACUGGUGUUUACAAAAACUGCAUGGAGAAAAUCCUGAACCGUUUCGCUUGUUUGUUACUGGUGGAGCAGGUACAGGAAAAAGCCAUUUAAUCAAAGCAAUAUGCUAUGAAUCUUCUAGACUCUUGUCUCAGCUGUCUGACAAUCCUGAUGAUAGGAGUGUGAUUUUAUGUGCAUCAACUGGAGUAGCCGCAUACAACAUUGGCGCUGCUACCAUACACCACACUUUUUCAAUUGGAGCUAAUGUCAAACUGCCAUAUCAACCACUAAGUGAUGACAAAAUCAAUUCUCUGCGUUCCAAACUUGGAUGUUUGCAGAUUUUGAUUAUUGAUGAAGUAUCCAUGGUUGACCAUCACCUUUUGUCAUAUGUUCAUGGGAGAUUGAGACAAAUCAAACAAACUGGUGAUUACUCCCUCUUUGGAAAAGUAAGUCUUGUAGCUGUAGGAGAUUUUUAUCAGCUGCCGCCUGUCAAAGGAACUCCACUCUAUGCUGAUACAAAAGGAGUAAACCUUUGGGAAAACAACUUUGAAAUUGCUGAAUUAACUGAAGUUGUUCGGCAACAAGAUGUAACUUUUGCUGAAACUUUAAAUCGUCUGAGAGUUCGUAAAAAAAAUGAACCUCUAAGCUCAAGUGACAUCAACAUGUUGAAGCAACGUGAAACAGGAGAGGAAUGCGGGGAUGUUCAUAUAUUUCCUACAAAUAAAGAGGUUGAUGAAUACAAUGUUCAGAGACUAAAUGAGGUUUGUCCUGAGGCAAUCAGUAUUCGAGCACAAGAUUUUGUGAGAAAUCCAAAAACUGGAAGGAUUGAAAAAAAAGUUGGAUUUCAUUCAACCGUUUUCAACUCCUGUUUGGCUAAAUGUGUUUCCUUGGGUGUUGGAGCAAGAGUUAUGUUAAAGAAGAACAUUGAUGUUUCGGAUGGACUUGUCAAUGGAGCGUUUGGUUCCGUUGUCCAUAUUAGCAGAAGUCAAAAACAGGAAGAUGAUUAUGAUGAUGACUUUCCAUCAACCAUUCAUGUGGAAUUUGAUGAUCCAAAUGUGGGAAAAAUUCAGAGAUCAAACCAACGACAUAGAUUUUCCCAAAAUUCUACAGCAAUUGAAGUUCAAGAAGAUCAAGUCACAACCAAUGGUGGUUUAAGACGCCAAUUUCCACUUAGACUGGCAUGGGCAUGCACUGUUCACAAAGUGCAAGGGCUCACAGUAGAUAAAGCUGUUGUAUCCCUUGACAAGAUCUUUACUGCAGGACAAGCAUAUGUUGCAUUGAGUCGUGUGAGAACUCUCAAUGGAUUAAUAAUUCAAAACUUCAAGGAGUCUGCAAUAUACUGUAAUGAUCAAAUUGACCUGGCAAUGAAAAAUAUACCAAAAUUUCCAUUAGAAAGUCACACUUUCUCAAAGACACCUGGUAUAUUUACAAUUGCUCUUCACAAUGUGCAAAGUCUUCAAGCUCAUGUUCAAGAUAUUCAAGCUCACAGACAACUUAUGAAUGCUGAUUGUAUUUGUUUAACUGAAACAUGGCUAAAAGUUGAAGACCAAGUACAAAUACCAGGAUUUAUUUUCAAGCAUAACCCGAGAGCUAAGUGCUAUGACAACAGCACUCCACUUUUCAGUAAUUUAAAACAACAGCGAGGAGGUGGAGUUGCUAUUUACUGUUGUGAAAAUAUGUUUUUUAACGUCAUCACUCCAGAACCUUGCAACCUUGAAUGUUUGUACUUCUCAGUUCCACAUAUCAGUUUGAAUGCUGCUCUGCUGUACAGGCCAAAUUCAUAUCACAUUGAUGUGUUUCGACAAAAUCUGUUACAUGUCAUUACUGAGCUGGAAAAACAUCCAGGAAAGAAAGUAAUUAUGGGAGACUUCAAUGAGGACAUCUUAACAUCAUCUUCAGUUGGGAAACUAAUGGAAGUCCAUGGAUACAGUCAACAUGUGCAAUGUCCAACAACUGAAAAGGGUACGUUAAUAGACCAUGUCUACAUUAAAGAUGCAGAAAAUGUUACAAUUGAAAUUGUUUCAACUUAUUAUAGUUACCAUGAAGCAGUACUAGUUUCAGUAAGGUAAUUUAUAUUUCUGAAAUAUAAUGAAGACUGUAUAACUGCAUUUUUCUUUUCUGUGCCCCUACCAUGCGGCAAUUAAUCUGAGAUUGAAGUCCAUGAAGGUCUGUUCAAUUUCACAAGUGAAAACGAUUCCAAGGUCCUUAAAGUCCUGACCAUUCCAUAUCAAGUCCUGUCCAGUAAUCAUCCAGCACAACACGGCAUCUCCCAUAAUUGCUCUUCUUUCCGGA